rnacentral:lncRNA from 1 species
GUUCAUAUAUCUUGUAUUGCAUCUAAUAGAGGGGACUUCUAAAGUCGGGUAGUAUAAAGAAGUUGAAAAAAGAAGUGAGGUAAAUGCUUGACGAUGAAAGUAUGGAGCCAUUGGUUGUUCUUGGAUCAAUUAACAGUAUUCUAUGCCUAAGUUAGGCAUACCGUUUGUAAAAAAGUAAAAAAUGUGUCCUUGACCAAUGUAAAUAGAACAGGUCAUGUCCAGCCUGUUCGAACCCAAAGCCGGCCCGGUUAGGCAAAAAAAUAAAAAUAAAAAAAAUAAAAAAUAAAAAAUAAAAAAACAUAUUUUAAGAAAUCAAUUAAAAACCACUGACUCGUGAUUUUAUAAAAACCAUGGACCUAUUUUUGGUUUCAGAGGUUUAAAUUUUUGAAAAUUGCCCAAAAACCACUUUUCUAAAUCGAUGCCUGGUUGGUUUCCAAAAUAUUGCCCUCGACAGAAUUAUAUGUUCAAAAAAACUGGAGAAAAUGAAGGAUGAUAUCCAUUUUUGUGCUCUUUACUUCACUCUCCUUAGAAAGCAUGGUUAUGAGACUUGUGCAAGUAUGUAUCGGGUUAUCAUUCCAUUAGAUAAAAUUAAAUACUAAGUAGCAUAGAAUUCUCAUAUAUAAAAUGAGAUUUGUAACCUCAAUCGUCGGAAAAGAAAUAGGAUUUUUUUUACUUAAUUUUAAAUUUGAAAUAAAUUAGCUUAAGAGUGAUUGAUUGAAACUCCAGACUUCAACAGCUCCACAACUGACCCAACAUCUAUGAACAAUCAGUCAAUCACGAAGUAUUAUUACUUGAGAUUAUAUAGAUUCUUCUUACUUCAAAUUCACAAGGAAUCACUUUCAGAAGCUCACCAAGAACCUCAAUAAUAAUUGAUUAUACACCAUGUGAAGAGAGAGAAAGCAAGCACAAAUCCGGGGGCACCCCUAUUGGAGGGGUGAUGAAGCAUAGUAAAAAAAAAAAAAAUAAUAAUAAUAAUAAAAGAAAAAGAAAAAGUUCCUCAUCGGACAAGUGGCGUUGAUAGCUUAUCUUUGAACUUUCCUUGGCUUAAACAUAAGACAGUUUUUUUAUUUUUAUUUUUUGCUUGUGAUCCACAAUAUCAAAGCUUGUGUUCAGUGAACUGGCACACACUUAUAUAAUAGCAAUGAAAUGUUUUGAACGUGUGAUUUAAUCUAUUUUCUUCCUAUGACUUCUAUAUGAUCAGACACUAACUACUACUUAGAAGAUUGAAUGUCUUUAUUAUCUUUUCUUAUCAUGAAAUCAUAUUUUUCUUGUUCGUUGCAUCAUUGUAGAGUAUAUGUUAACGUUCUUCUUAUCCUUUCACAACAAUUGGUAUGAGUUUUUUAUUUUUUUAUUUUUAUCUUUUUUUAAAGUUUAACCUGCUAUUCGAGCACACUAAGAUCAUGGAUUCGAGUUUCAGGUUCCGAAUGUUGGAUUAUUAAAUAAUGAGUCCAACCUACACAAGAAAAUAAAAUACAAAUAAAUAAAUGUAAUCUUUUGUUAUCAUUUGCUUUUAAAUGAGUUGGUAUAUAGUCCUUGUUUGAGCCACAUUAUUUUGGAAAAAAAAUGCAUUUUUGAAUAAUGUGCUGAUGGGAAAUGUGUGGUUAAAAAAUAAGAAAAAAUUUUAGAUUUGCGUGUAAUAUUAUUUCAUUGAAAAAUGUAUUGUUGAAAUAAUGUCAAAUCUAUUUAAGAAUGUAUUUUUCCAAAUAAUGUGAAUCAAACAUGGCCAAUUUUCAAAAUGAGUAGAUUUGUUUGCACCAAGUAUUUGUUAAAAAAAAAAAAAAAAAAAAAAAAAUCUACCUGUUAAGCCUAUUGAAAUCACCUCUGUCCCCCACUCAGAUGUUAAAGGGUAACUCUAUUUGUACACAUGGCAAGAUUCGAUAUUUUUCUAGAGUAGGGGAGGUACUUUAUUGAUGCAUUCGACCUACCUUUGUCGAACAAGUCGAGUUUGAUAGGUUUCGAUGUUCUUUCAUUGGCUUAAGCCUUUGAAUAUAAGAAGCAUUGUUUUUGUUGUUACCCUUGCAUGUCAUCCAUCUUGACGAGCUGGAGAGUUCAGAACAUACUACCAAUUUAAUAACUAUAAAAUGUUUUGAAUGUGUGAUUUAAUUAAUUUUCUUCCUAUGAAUUUUCUAAGUUUUUCUAACAAUCUUCACACAAUAACUACUUCUUAGAGAACUGAAUAUAACUCAUCUUUUUAGACUUUUUAGUUUAACGGGAGCAUCAAAUGUCAUGCAUUCAAUUUUCAAUUUGACCUAUUUAUGAAGGUUUCGAGUGUCAGCAAAAAAUAAAAUAUAAAUAAAUAAUUGUAAUCCUUCUUUAACAUUUGCUUUUAAAUGAGUUAGUCUCAAAUAAUGAAAACGAAUAGUUUCGUUUUGCAAGCACUAUUUGAUUUUAUUAGACAUAUGGUAGAUAUGACGAUAGAUGCAACGGGUGAAAUGUCAAUGCUCUGUUUGAGUUUCUUUUUCUGGGAAAUAGAUUUUGGAUAGUGAUUAUUUAGAGAAUGCGUGAUUAAAAGUCGAGAAAAAAUUUGUGAUUAAAAUUGAGUUUGAAAAAAAAAAUUUGAAGUUUUAAAGAAUUAUAAGCUUUCUGACACGAAGCAAGUGCUCCGCUGAUUGAUUUGACCUGCUGUUUGAUAGCUUUCUUUUAUCUUUAAUUAACACGUGAAUACAGGACAAUUUUAUUUUGGGGUCACCCUUAGGGGCGGAGCCAAGAUUUUAGUUCAGUGCGGGCAAAAUUUUUUUGACGACGAAUGUCGAGGUUUUGGUCAAAGAUUUAAUGACGAUAAAAAAAUAAAACAAUAGUACAUCAAUACUAAAAACGACAUAAUUUAUAUAUUACACUUGUUCUUUGCUAGUUUUCAUACUUUGAUAUCGUUGUAUAAUAACUUCAUUAUUGAACCUGAAAAAUUUAUUUUUCUCCACAUAAACAAUUAUGCUAUCAUUCAUCCACUGAUCACCCAAUUACUACUAAGAGUGGGAGUUAUUCGAGAUGUUAAAUGAAUCACAAAUACUGGAAGCAACUCAAAAAACUAGUGCAAUUCACAAUUUCACAAAAUCUGUAGCGGAAAUCCCUCUAUAAAUCUUGAUUCCGGGCUCAGAAAGCAAUCAAACGAACACCGGUUUACCUUGGCUCGACCCGAGACUUUCACCUUCACUUUGGACUACUCUCUUUCUCUCUAUCCCAACAAAGGAGAAGGGUGGUGGUGUUAGCAAUCCACAAAGGUAUGGGGAGGAAGAAGAACACUGGUUAAAUCUUACUCACAACCUCACAUGGCUUCCCUCUCUCUCGGUUGCCUCUCUUCUCUCAACUAUCCUCUCCAUUGCUACAACACACACCACCACCAAACGGCUAGGAGAUAAAUACAUAUAUAUAUAAGGUUAGUUUAGGCAACCCAAAUUGGGCCUGGGGUUCACUAAGCGGGCUACCAAUUAACCUAAACUAAUGGGCCAAUAUUCAACUACAUAUUAAUCACUAAAUGGUCCAACUAACCAAAUAAUCAUCCAACCCAAACCCGAACCAUUCAAAACUGUAGUUCAUCUCCAAGUCGAGCCAAGUCCAUGGUGUCGAUAAAUAAUCCGACAACUGUUUUAAAUCAUCGCCCGAAUUAUUGGGUAUCAAAAAACCCAACAAAAUCAAUUCACAAUCUCACAAUGCAAUAUAUACUAUUUCCAAAUACUUGGCAACUUGAAUUUGCAAUCACAGAUUCCCAAAGAGCCAGAGCCCAGAGGCAACAAUGAACUGGUGGUCCACUGGAAGUUUGUGCCGCUUCGAGCAAUUAAAGAACAAAGUGCUAAUUUAAUAUGUUAAAAAAAAAUUAUUACAAUUUACACAAAUUGAAAUAACCAAAAAAAAAAUAAGGGAAAAAAAAUUUGGGGCUUCGCCUUUUGCUUUCUAGAAUCUGGCUUCUUCUUUUGUCAGCUCGGCUAGUUGGCGUUGGCACUUGGCGCCUUGGCAGAGCUGAGGAUGUAAAGUCGGAGUCAGAGAUGUGAGAUGUCAAGAUGAGAGCCUAGAGUAGGAGAUAUACAAUAAUGGACUGUCGGAGAGGGAAAGGGAACGACUGUUGUGCUGUGACGACUAUCCAAGACGACGGUUGACGGAGAUGGAAGGGAACGACGGGCUUUGUCACCGGUGGAGAGGGAAGUGGGUGGCGAAGUGUGAAAUCGUCACAGACAAAGUCAUGAAGGGUAGAAAUUUUGAAAUGAAUGAAUGGGUUUGGGUCAACAAUUGAUUCAAUUGAAUUUUGAUAUGAAUGGAUCUAAAACGAGUCAUGAUCUUGCACAAUUGGGCUUCUCUCUGUAUGCUGGAUCGAGAAUUGAGUUACUUGGUUAAACAAACAAACAAACCUUAAAAAAAAAAAAAAAAAAUUUUUUUUUUUUUUUUUGGCCCAAAAGUCCAGUGCGGGCUAGUGGCUCCGCCCCUGGUCACCCUUGCACGUGACCAUGUUCAAAACCAGUUGGAGUCUCCAAAACAUGAUACAAAUCAAUAUAUAAAAUGUUUUUAAUGUGUGUGAUUCAAUAAAUAUCUUCCUAGGAAUCUUCUAUGUUCAGCCAAUUAAUACAUUAUUUGUGUUAAGGAUCAAAUAGUUUCUCACAGUUUCAAGGUUUAACGUGUCUUGAAAAAUAGUUUAAAUUUUGUCUUUGACAGAAGACUAAAAAAAAAAAAAAAAAAAAAAAACAAAGAUAAUUUAUUUAAUUUGUCAUUUUCCAAUCCUACGAAUAAAAUAUUAUAAUAAAAUCCACGCACCAUGCUUAUAAAUAUUCGUAAUCAAAGACAAUGGGCUUAUACAUAACAAGAAUUAUCAUCUCUGUUGUAUGAAAUGAUGGCAAACAAUAUCCAACUCUUACCCAUUGGUUCCCCUUUUGUUCAAAAUCUUCCCAAACACAAUUUGAGAGGAGCUAUUUGUAAUUUCG